GCUCCCAGUCCCAACAAUGGCAAGUGAUACCUAAUGUUGAGUGAAUGGGUUUGCCAAUUUGGUGUUUCAAAAUGCGUCCCGCAACGUUUUGGGACGCAAACAUCCUGUGAUCUGAGACUCGCGAUUUGGAAUGCGGAACCUAGGUGAAGGUAAAUGAAUCUGGUAAUUAUGUUCUAGGCGUGUCUAACUUCAUGGAUGUGUGUCAGACACAUUUUGUAUCCUAUCCAGUGUCAUGUCGUGUUGACACUGGUGUUGCAAGAGAGAAUGGCAAGUCCGAGAAUCAGAGGGUUUGUGAAUGCAACGAUGGCCUGAUACCAAGUUUAGAUAUUAUGGGGGUCGCACUUGUUUCA
rnacentral:misc_RNA from 1 species